rnacentral:rRNA from 1 species
UGGGGAAUAUUGGACAAUGGGCGAAAGCUGAUCCAGCCAUGCCGCGUGUGUGAAGAAGGCCUUUUGGUUGUAAAGCACUUUAAGUGGGGAGGAAAAGCUUAUGGUUAAUACCCAUAAGCCCUGACGUUACCCACAGAAUAAGCACCGGCUAACUCUGUGCCAGCAGCCGCGGUAAUACAGAGGGUGCAAGCGUUAAUCGGAAUUACUGGGCGUAAAGCGCGCGUAGGUGGUUAUUUAAGUCAGAUGUGAAAGCCCCGGGCUUAACCUGGGAACUGCAUCUGAUACUGGAUAACUAGAGUAGGUGAGAGGGGAGUAGAAUUCCAGGUGUAGCGGUGAAAUGCGUAGAGAUCUGGAGGAAUACCGAUGGCGAAGGCAGCUCCCUGGCAUCAUACUGACACUGAGGUGCGAAAGCGUGGGUAGCAAACAGGAUUAGAUACCCUGGUAGUCCACGCCGUAAACGAUGUCUACCGGUCGUUGGGUCUUUUAAAGACUUAGUGACGCAGUUAACGCAAUAAGUAGACCGCCUGGGGAGUACGGCCGCAAGGUUA